rnacentral:rRNA from 1 species
CCAGCAGCUGCGGUAAUUCCAGCUCCAAUAGCGUAUAUUAAAGUUGUUGCAGUUAAAAAGCUCGUAGUUGGAUUUCUGGUAGGAUGACUGUGCCCUCAGUAGAGCGUGCGCAGGCGUCUUGCCAUCCUUCUGUUAACCUUUGAGAGCUUCAUCGCUCUCUUUGGGGCUCAGAUAUUUUACCUUGAGAAAAUUAGAGUGUUUCAGGCAGGCUAGCGCCGGAAUACAUUAGCAUGGAAUAAUAGAAUAGGACUUUUGCCUCUUCUGUUGGUCAUGGGGUUCGAGUAAUGAUUAAUAGGGAUAGUUGGGGGCAUUAGUACUUCACUGUCAGAGGUGAAAUUCUCGGAUUUGUGAAAGACUAACUUAUGCGAAAGCAUUUGCCAAGGAUGUUUUCAUUAAUCAAGAACGAAAGU